UCUGUCUCCUUCUUAGUUUUAAUAAGAUAAAUGUGUUUUUCUUUGUUACAAAUAAUAUAACUGCCACUAAUUGAGCACAGACUAUAUUCCAGAUAUAUUUUAUUAAAUCUUCAUAAGACUCUGCAAGAAAGAUAACUUGGUACCCACUUUAUAAAUGACAAAAGCAAAAAUGACUUGUCCAAUUCACACAUAAAUGGCAGAACUGGAUCUGAACCCAACUGACCCUGGAAACUACUUUUAAAUCUAUUAUGCUGCAUUUUAUCCUAGUAAACAUUUUGUUUUCCUUUUUGUCCUCUUUCCAAAUAUCCAAUCCCUCUCUGAUUUGUUUUCACUCCAAGUUGUGAAAGUCCAUUCCUGAAAUGUGACUGUAGUCCCAGAAAUAAAGACAUGGAAGAGACACUGAGAACCUGUGCAUAACCUCCUCGGAGUAACUAGAAUCCUGAGGCUGUCCCAUGACUCUUCACCCAUUAUGCUUCCUGAAUACCAAGAUGCCCUGCAGAAGGACUGUGUUGUCAGGGAUUGGAGCUGAAGGAUUCAGAACAAAUUGGAAUUGGCAAAAAAUGGAGAGAGUCUGUAGAAGGAUAAAUCCAAGGCUCUCAUAAUUACCAGAAACUCUGGGGAAAGCAGAAAGGGAAAAAAGAACAAGAGAAAAACAAAAUGAAAUAUUUCAAAUCAGGAGACUUAAAAGAAAAACACUUACAACAGUGAAUUCUCAGGUCUCAAUAACAAAAAGGCUGUUUUAAUAAAGUUUUUUUGUUUUGUUUUUGUAAGGCCAAACAACUUCCGUUGCUAGCAGGCGGAGAGGGCUGGGUCUAGGCCAGGAGCUCUACCAGGAAGCUGAUAAAGACUUACAGUAUUGCCUCCCUGGGGCCAAGAGCAUCCCUAUAAGCCUCUGUUUUUCCUGUAGUAAACACCCAUGGAUUAUUUUUCCCAGUCCCUAGAGUAUAAAAGGGUCAGCUUACUACCAAGUUAUAAUAAAGUUUUCUCUUUGGUUUCUGGUUUAUGAAAUACUUCCCAGCUUUUGUACAAAGAUUAAUUUGCUGCAAUAGAACUUGAUUACAAUUCAGUAGCUUUUAUCCUACAACUUUCACCUUGAGCCAAUUCCUGUAGAAACAGAGUUUUUAAGUGAUACAAUCCCAACCGAUAUCAAGCAAGGCAUCUUACUCAAAGGCAGUGUAAUGUGUGCGAAUGCUCGUUAGCCCAGAAACCAACAUAGAGUCAGCGCUUAAUAAAGUGUCUCUGUUUUCUUCUCUAUAUAAAUAUAGAUAAAAUCAGUAUCUAAACACACAUAUACAUUUCUGCCAUCCAGAAUUGGAGAGUUUGAAUGAAUUCUAGAGAAUUACAUAGUUCAGCAAUGUGAUAGAUAAGCACUAUUAUUAUUCAUGUUGUUCAGAUGAAGAAACUGAAGUCUAGAAAGGUGAAAUAACUUGGAGAAUCACAGUCAGGAUUCAAAUGCAGACCUGUGUAACUCCAGUAAUUCUGUCCUAAACACUAUGUUAGAUUUCCUCCUAGGUCCACUCAAACUCAUGGCAUCCUUUUGAAAGUAUUCACUAUUUAUUGCAGUGUAGCAAAUCAUCCCCAAAAUUAGUGACUUAAAAGAACAAUGAUUUAUUUUCUUGUAAAGUUUCUGUGGGUUAGGAAUUCAGGACUGAUAAAGCAGUUUUGACUCCGCAUUUUUCAUGAGCUUGCAGUCAGAUGUUGGCUGAGACCGCAGCUAUCUGAUGGCUUGCUGGUGCUGGAACAUGCACUUUCAAGGAGUCCCACUUGCAUAACUGGCAAAUUAGUGCUGAUUCCUGGCUG